GCCACUCUCGACCCGCGAUAUGAUAUGUGCCCGGCCGCAAGUGUUUCUCAAACACAGCGCUUCAGGCAUGAAAAUGGGUCAGGGGUUGAAAAGGUGAGAAGGGUGCGGAGGAAAUACGUUCCGGUGUUGUGCCGUAGAAUGCACCCCUGCAUCCCGUCCACUCAUUAGCUUCUUAAAGUGGAAGAAAAUGAGCUCAUAUUCUACAAAGAUGCAAGUAUUUGAAUCAUGGCUACUAGCAGGGGGUGCAUUCGGCAGGGGUGCAUUCUACAACACAACACCGAGGUGGAUAAGUCCUGCUUCUCGUGCUCAGUUUGCGUAUCAAGUCAAUCACAUGAUAAUUAAAAAAAAUAAAUCUCCC